rnacentral:lncRNA from 1 species
UAAAAAAUAAAAAAAUGCCUCAAACUAUCCCUCAUUACUUUUCUCUCAAGAAAAAUUACAAAAAAAGAAAAACAACCGACUACAUGCAAAUACCCCCAUAAAAUAAAAAUAAAAAAAAUGCCUAAAACUAUCCUCCAUUACUUUUUUUUCCUCUAUCCCACCAAAAUAAGGGCUCCGAGUGCAAAACAAGGCUCCCGUACUAAGUACGGUUUGGCCAGCACUUUAAUUAAUG